GCCGAUAUAGUUUCAAUUGGUAAAACGGAUCCCUUGUAAGAAUUUGUUAUUGGUUCGAAUCCAGUUAUUGGCA
rnacentral:tRNA from 1 species